rnacentral:rRNA from 1 species
AUGUCCACCUCUCCCAACACCUCCGCGUCCACCGCAUCGACAACCAUUAGCUCCCAGCUUUCCGCCACUGCCGGUGCUCUCACCAAUUCCUCCGUCUCAGUUGGGUCGAUGAUGACCGGGCAGGUCGGCGUGCCCAACCUCGCCCAGCUGGUGACGGUGAGACUCUCAAGGGAAAAUCACCUCCUCUGGAAGGCCCAGAUUGUUCCCAUCCUGCGGGGGCAUCAGCUUCUCGGCUUCGUCAACGGCGAGAGCACCCCCCCGGCGCGCCUCAUUCCCGCCUCCACCGCUGAAGGGGCGGAGAUGGUGAUCAACCCAGCCCAUACGGUCUGGCACGCCCAGGACCAGCUGCUCCUUGCCGGGAUCCUCUCCACGCUCUCACCCGACAUCAUCGCGCGCACGCUGAACUUCACGACAUCGGCGCAGAUAUGGGCGGCACUCGAGCGCAUGUACGCCUCGCAGUCUCGCUCCAGGAUCAUGCAGCUUAAGAGGCAGCUUACGCACGCCCAGAAAAAGGACAUGAACAUGGCUGAUUAUUUUGGCCAUGUCAAGGGUCUCGCUGACCAGCUUGCUGCGGCCGGCAGCCUCGUCUCCGAGACUGAUGUGAUCGACUACAUGUUCACAGGCCUUGAUAACUCGUACGACGCCCUCGUCACAUCGAUCAAUCUGCUGCUGGCCAACGGUGGCAUCUCUCUCGAUGAAGUGUACUCGCACAUGCUGGAUUACGAGGCGCGUCAAGACAAUGCCAACACCGGCUAUCAGUUGUCAGCCAAUCUUGCGGGACGAGGCAACGGCGCUCGAGGCGGCGGCAACGGUGGAGGUGGCUCCUCUGGCGGCAGCGGUGGCCGCAAUCGCAACAAUGAUGGCCGGAACCAGCAGGGAGGCAACCGUCGCAACGGCGGCAACAGCGGCGGCGGCGGUAACUCUGCUGCAGGCAACGGCUCCAAUGGCCAACCAGCCGGCGGUCACUAA